rnacentral:rRNA from 1 species
UAGGGAAUCUUCGGCAAUGGACGGAAGUCUGACCGAGCAACGCCGCGUGAGUGAAGAAGGUUUUCGGAUCGUAAAGCUCUGUUGUAAGAGAAGAACGAGUGUGAGAGUGGAAAGUUCACACUGUGACGGUAUCUUACCAGAAAGGGACGGCUAACUACGUGCCAGCAGCCGCGGUAAUACGUAGGCCCCGAGCGUUGUCCGGAUUUAUUGGGCGUAAAGCGAGCGCAGGCGGUUAGAUAAGUCUGAAGUUAAAGGCUGUGGCUUAACCAUAGUACGCUUUGGAAACUGUUUAACUUGAGUGCAAGAGGGGAGAGUGGAAUUCCAUGUGUAGCGGUGAAAUGCGUAGAUAUAUGGAGGAACACCGGUGGCGAAAGCGGCUCUCUGGCUUGUAACUGACGCUGAGGCUCGAAAGCGUGGGGAGCAAACAGGAUUAGAUACCCUGGUAGUCCACGCCGUAAACGAUGAGUGCUAGGUGUUAGACCCUUUCCGGGGUUUAGUGCCGUAGCUAACGCAUUAAGCACUCCGCCUGGGGAGUACGACCGCAAGGUUG